AAUGAACGUUGGCGGCGUGGAUUAGGCAUGCAAGUCGCGCGAGAACUGUAGCAAUACAGGGAAAGCGGCGUAAGGGACAGUAAUACCUAGAAACGUACCCCCGGGUCUGGGAUAGCGGCGGGAAACUGCCGGUAAUACCAGAUAACGUCUCCGGACCAAAGGUGUGAUUCCACCUGGGGAGCGGUCUAGGCCCUAUUAGCUUGUUGGUGGGGUAACGGCCUACCAAGGCAAAGAUGGGUAGCAGGUGUGAGAGCACGACCUGCGUCACUGGGACUGAGACACUGCCCAGACACCUACGGGUGGCUGCAGGCGCGAAUCUUCGGCGAUGGGCGCAAGCCUGACCGAGCGCCGGCGCGUGCGGGAUGAAGGCCUUCGGGUUGUAAACCGCUGUCGAAGGGGAUGAAAUUCCGGUGGGUUCUCUUGCCGGAUUGACAGAUCCUUGGAGGAAGGACGGGCUAAGUUCGUGCCAGCAGCCGCGGUAAUAC
rnacentral:rRNA from 1 species